rnacentral:rRNA from 1 species
AUAACAGCUCGAAAGAGUUGCUAAUACUGGAUAACAAUGCAUUCGCAUGUUUGCAUUUAAAAGACGGUUUCGGCUGUCACUAUUGGAUGACCUCGCGUUCCGAUUAGUUUGUUGGUGGGGUAACGGCCUACCAAGACUACGAUGGAUAGGUGGCCUGAGAGGGUGGCCACCCACACUGGAACUGAGACACGGUCCAG